rnacentral:rRNA from 1 species
ACGUUAGCGGCGGACGGGUGAGUAACACGUGGGUAACCUACCUAUAAGACUUGGAUAACUUCGGGAAACCGGAGCUAAUACCGGAUAAUAUUUCGAACCGCAUGGUUCGAUAGUGAAAGAUGGUUUUGCUAUCACUUAUAGAUGGACCUGCGCCGUAUUAGCUAGUUGGUAAGGUAACGGCUUACCAAGGCGACGAUACGUAGCCGACCUGAGAGGGUGAUCGGCCACACUGGAACUGAGACACGGUCCAGACUCCUACGGGAGGCAGCAGUU